AAAUCUACUCUACAUUUUAGAGAAAAAAAGUUUACACCUUUAACUCUCACUGGGGUGUGUGUCCCUCAUCUUCUUGAAAAGAAAAGGGUAUGGCUCUUGUGAGUAGAAUUCCUUCAAUUUCAUCUUCUUCUGGAGCAACCCAAUUGACAAAAAUCAAAUCUUUUUGUGUUAAUCCUGUUUGCUGUAUUAACUAUGCAUCAUCAUCUUCUUCUUCCCCUUUUACUGAG
rnacentral:misc_RNA from 1 species